UAGGGAAUCUUCGGCAAUGGGGGGAACCCUGACCGAGCAACGCCGCGUGAGUGAAGAAGGUUUUCGGAUCGUAAAGCUCUGUUGUUAAGGAAGAACGAGUGUGAGAAUGGAAAGUUCAUGCUGUGACGGUACUUAACCAGAAAGGGACGGCUAACUACGUGCCAGCAGCCGCGGUAAUACGUAGGUCCCGAGCGUUGUCCGGAUUUAUUGGGCGUAAAGCGAGCGCAGGCGGUUAGAAAAGUCCGAAGUGAAAGGCAGUGGCUCAACCAUUGUAGGCUUUGGAAACUGUUUAACUUGAGUGCAGAAGGGGAGAGUGGAAUUCCAUGUGUAGCGGUGAAAUGCGUAGAUAUAUGGAGGAACACCGGUGGCGAAAGCGGCUCUCUGGUCUGUAACUGACGCUGAGGCUCGAAAGCGUGGGGAGCGAACAGG
rnacentral:rRNA from 1 species